rnacentral:rRNA from 1 species
GUGGGGAAUCUUAGACAAUGGGGGCAACCCUGAUCUAGCCAUGCCGCGUGAGUGAUGAAGGCCUUAGGGUUGUAAAGCUCUUUCAGUGGGGAAGAUAAUGACGGUACCCACAGAAGAAGCCCCGGCUAACUCCGUGCCAGCAGCCGCGGUAAUACGGAGGGGGCUAGCGUUGUUCGGAAUUACUGGGCGUAAAGCGCACGUAGGCGGAUCGGAAAGUUGGGGGUGAAAUCCCAGGGCUCAACCCUGGAACUGCCUUCAAAACUAUCGGUCUGGAGUCCGAGAGAGGUGAGUGGAAUUCCGAGUGUAGAGGUGAAAUUCGUAGAUAUUCGGAGGAACACCAGUGGCGAAGGCGGCUCACUGACUCGGUACUGACGCUGAGGUGCGAAAGCGUGGGGAGCAAACAGGAUUAGAAACCCGGGUAGUCC